rnacentral:rRNA from 1 species
CGGUCUCUUCGGAGAUAGUGGCGGACGGGUGAGUAACGCGUGAGAAUCUGGCUCUAGGUCUGGGACAACCACUGGAAACGGUGGCUAAUACCGGAUGUGCCUGUGGGUGAAAGGUUAACUGCCUGGAGAUGAGCUCGCGUCUGAUUAGCUAGUUGGUGGUGUAAGGGACUACCAAGGCGACGAUCAGUAGCUGGUCUGAGAGGAUGAUCAGCCACACUGGAACUGAGACACGGUCCAGACUCCUACGGGAGGCAGCAGUGGGGAAUUUUCCGCAAUGGGCGAAAGCCUGACGGAGCAAUACCGCGUGAGGGAGGAAGGCUCUUGGGUUGUAAACCUCUUUUCUCAAGGAAGAAUGAUGACGGUACUUGAGGAAUCAGCAUCGGCUAACUCCGUGCCAGCAGCCGCGGUAAUACGGAGGAUGCAAGCGUUAUCCGGAAUGAUUGGGCGUAAAGCGUCCGUAGGUGGCUGUGUGUGUCUAUUGUUAAAGAGUUUGGCUCAACCAAAUAAGGGCGGUAGAAACUACACAGCUAGAGUGCGUUCGGGGCAGAGGGAAUUCCUGGUGUAGCGGUGAAAUGCGUAGAGAUCAGGAAGAACACCGGUGGCGAAAGCGCUCUGCUAGGCCGCAACUGACACUGAGGGACGAAAGCUAGGGGAGCGAAUGGGAUUAGAUACCCCAGUAGUCCUAGCCGUAAACGAUGGAUACUAGGCGUUGAGAGUAUCGACCCUCUCAGUGCCGUAGCUAACGCGUUAAGUAUCCCGCCUGGGGAGUACGCACGCAAGUGUGAAACUCAAAGGAAUUGACGGGGGCCCGCACAAGCGGUGGAGUAUGUGGUUUAAUUCGAUGCAACGCGAAGAACCUUACCAGGGCUUGACAUGUCUGGAAUCUCUGGGAAACUAGAGAGUGCCUUCGGGAGCCAGAA